rnacentral:rRNA from 1 species
AUUGAACGCUGGCGGCAUGCCUUACACAUGCAAGUCGAACGGUAACAGAUCUUCGGAUGCUGACGAGUGGCGAACGGGUGAGUAAUACAUCGGAACGUGCCCGAUCGUGGGGGAUAACGAAGCGAAAGCUUUGCUAAUACCGCAUACGAUCUACGGAUGAAAGCAGGGGACCGCAAGGCCUUGCGCGAACGGAGCGGCCGAUGGCAGAUUAGGUAGUUGGUGGGAUAAAAGCUUACCAAGCCGACGAUCUGUAGCUGGUCUGAGAGGACGACCAGCCACACUGGGACUGAGACACGGCCCAGACUCCUACGGGAGGCAGCAGUGGGGAAUUUUGGACAAUGGGCGAAAGCCUGAUCCAGCCAUGCCGCGUGCAGGAUGAAGGCCUUCGGGUUGUAAACUGCUUUUGUACGGAACGAAAAGACUCUGGUUAAUACCUGGGGUCCAUGACGGUACCGUAAGAAUAAGCACCGGCUAACUACGUGCCAGCCGCCGCGGUAAGAC